rnacentral:lncRNA from 11 species
AUUGCACAAAUGGUCAACAUGCAAGAUAUGUUGAGCAUUUGGACCGAUUCAUAUAAAAACCCCAAGUUUUGGAGCAAAGAUCCUCUUUUUGCUGUGAAUACUGGAACGUAAUAGUAGUGCGCGCGUGUGUAGCAUUUAAUAGAAUUGAGUAGUGGUUAGUAAGUUUAGACAUGCAACAUUGAAGUUAAAAAGAACAGUUAGUAGUACAAAAAGUGUGUUAGUAGUACAAAAAACACUUGUUGCUAAGUCUAAAUCAUGCGUCGAAACAAUCGUGUGAGAAAUAAUUCGUAAAAACCUACAAGAAAAGGUCCACACAUUGGGCCUUUUCUUUUUAUCUGUGGCCUUUUUGGCAGAACCACGACAGUUAGUGCGGAGUGCGCGUCCAUCUUGAAGUCCAGUCCAGCAGAAAGUAGAAGGGUGUAAACCGUUACUACUUUACACGGUUAGCGUCCCAAAACCGCCAUCUUGCCCUACCUUCAGGAUUCAUCAAGGCCAAUGAGUCCAACUUCGAUAAGCCAACCACAUUCUGCACAAGCCCGAUGAUGAGCGGACUGAUCACCCGCUCGUCGAUACCCGUCAAGCCGUUCAACCACCAACACACCAGCAGUUCUACAACAGCCCAUCAGAGCACAUCCAAAACCGCAAGUAAAACCACCCAAAAUGUGACGUCACAAUAAAUAAUUGUAAUAAUGAGA